UGUGGGUCUGUGUGGUGAGUGUGUGGGUCUCUGUGUGGUGAGUGUGUAGGUGGGUCUCUGUGUGGUGAGUGUGUGGGUCUCUGUGUGGUGAGUGUGUGGGUAUCUAUGUGGUGAGUGUGUGGGUCUCUGUGUGGUGAGUGUGUUGGUGGGUCUCUGUGUGGUGAAUGUGUGGGUGGGUCUCUGUGUGGUGAGUGUGUGGGUCUCUGUGUGGUGAGUUUGUGGGUUUCUGUGUUGGAAGUCUGUGGGUCUCUGUGUGAUGAGUCUGUGGGUCUCUGUUUGGUGAGUGUGUGGGUCUCUGUGUGGGGAGUGUGUGGGUCUCUGUGUGGUGAGUGUGUGGGUCUCUGUGUGCUGGGUCUGUGGGUCUCUGUGUGGUGAAUCUGUGGGUCUCUGUGUGGUGAAUCUGAGUCUCUGUGUGAUGAGUGUGUGGGUCUCUGUGGUGAGUGUGUGGGUCUGUGUGGUGAGUGUGUGGGUCUCUGUGUGGUGAGUUUGUAGGUCUCUGUGUGGUGAGUGUGUGGGUCUCUGUGUGGUCAGUGUGUGGGUCUCUGUGUGUGUGGUCAGUGUGUGGGUCUGUGUGGUGAAUUUGUGCGUCUCUGUGUUGGAAGUCUGUGGGUCUCUGUGUAGGGAGUGUGUAGGUCUCUGUGUGGUGAGUUUGUAGGUCUCUGUGUGGUGAGUGUGUGGGUCUCUGUGUGAUGAGUCUGUGGGUCUCUGUGUGGUGAAUCUGAGUCUCUGUGUGGUGAGUGUGUGGCUCUAUGUGUGGUGAGUGUGUGGGUCUCUGUGUAGGUAGUGUGUGGGUCUCUGUGUAGGGAGUGUGUGGGUCUCUGUGUGAUGAGUCUGUGGGUCUCUUUGUGAUGAGUCUGUGGGUCUCUCUGUGGUGAGUGUGUGGGUCUCUGUGUGGUGAGUGUGUGGGUAUCUAUGUGGUGAGUGUGUGGGUCUCUGUGUGGUGAGUGUGUUGGUGGGUCUCUGGGUGGUGAAUGUGUGGGUGGGUCUCUGUGUGGUGAGUGUGUGGGUCUCUGUGUGGUGAGUUUGUGGGUUUCUGUGUUGGAAGUCUGUGGGUCUCUGUGUGGUGAGUUUGUAGGUCUAUGUGUGGUGAGUGUGUGGGUCUCUGUGUAGGUAGUGUGUGGGUCUCUGUGUAGGGAGUGUGUGGGUCUCUGUGUGAUGAGUCUGUGGGUCUCUUUGUGAUGAGUCUGUGGGUCUCUCUGUGGUGAGUGUGUGGGUCUGUGUGGUGAGUGUGUGGGUCUCUGUGUGGUGAGUGUGUAGGUGGGUCUCUGUGUGGUGAGUGUGUGGGUCUCUGUGUGGUGAGUGUGUGGGUAUCUAUGUGGUGAGUGUGUGGGUCUCUGUGUGGUGAGUGUGUUGGUGGGUCUCUGUGUGGUGAAUGUCUGGGUGGGUCUCUGUGUGGUGAGUGUGUGGGUCUCUGUGUGGUGAGUUUGUGGGUUUCUGUGUUGGAAGUCUGUGGGUCUCUGUGUGAUGAGUCUGUGGGUCUCUGUUUGGUGAGUGUGUGGGUCUCUGUGUGGGGAGUGUGUGGGUCUCUGUGUGGUGAGUGUGUGGGUCUCUGUGUGCUGGGUCUGUGGGUCUCUGUGUGGUGAAUCUGUGGGUCUCUGUGUGGUGAAUCUGAGUCUCUGUGUGAUGAGUGUGUGGGUCUCUGUGGUGAGUGUGUGGGUCUGUGUGGUGAGUGUGUGGGUCUCUGUGUGGUGUGUGUGGGUUUCUGUGUGGUGAGUUUGUGGGUCUCUGUGUAGGGAGUGUGUAGGUCUCUGUGUGGUGAGUUUGUAGGUCUCUGUGUGGUGAGUGUGUGGGUCUCUGUGUGGUCAGUGUGUGGGUCUCUGUGUGUGUGGUCAGUGUGUGGGUCUGUGUGGUGAAUUUGUGCGUCUCUGUGUUGGAAGUCUGUGGGUCUCUGUGUAGGGAGUGUGUAGGUCUCUGUGUGGUGAGUUUGUAGGUCUCUGUGUGGUGAGUGUGUGGGUCUCUGUGUGAUGAGUCUGUGGGUCUCUGUGUGGUGAAUCUGAGUCUCUGUGUGGUGAGUGUGUGGCUCUAUGUGUGGUGAGUGUGUGGGUCUCUGUGUAGGUAGUGUGUGGGUCUCUGUGUAGGGAGUGUGUGGGUCUCUGUGUGAUGAGUCUGUGGGUCUCUUUGUGAUGAGUCUGUGGGUCUCUCUGUGGUGAGUGUGUGGGUCUGUGUGGUGAGUGUGUGGGUCUCUGUGUGGUGAGUGUGUGGGUCUCUGUGUGGUGAGUGUGUAGGUGGGUCUCUGUGUGGUGAGUGUGUGGGUAUCUAUGUGGUGAGUGUGUGGGUCUCUGUGUGGUGAGUGUGUUGGUGGGUCUCUGGGUGGUGAAUGUGUGGGUGGGUCUCUGUGUGGUGAGUGUGUGGGUCUCUGUGUGGUGA